rnacentral:rRNA from 1 species
UACGGGAGGCAGCAGUGGGGAAUAUUGGACAAUGGGCGAAAGCCUGAUCCAGCCAUGCCGCAUGAGUGAAGAAGGCCUUCGGGUUGUAAAGCUCUUUUAGUGAGAAAGAUAAUGACGGUACUCACAGAAGAAGUCCUGGCUAACUCCGUGCCAGCAGCCGCGGUAAUACGGAGGGUGCUAGCGUUAAUCAGAAUUACUGGGCGUAAAGAGCACGUAGGUGGUUUUUUUAAGUCAGAUGUGAAAUCCCUGGGCUUAACCUGGAACUGCAUUUUGAAACUGAAAUACUAGAGUAUCGUAGAGGGAGGUAGAAUUCUAGGUGUAGCGGUGAAAUGCGUAGAUAUCUGGAGGAAUACCUGUGGCGAAAGCGGCCUCCUAAACGAAUACUGACACUGAGGGUGCGAAAGCGUGGGGAGCAAACAGGGAUUAGAUACC